AAGCCAACACGGAGCCGGCUCUCCUUUUGCCAGCCUUCGCUUCAGCCUCUGCCCGGGCUCUCCUUGCACCCUGUUAGCUUCCACCGGCAGGGUCCGGACUGGUGGAGUCGGAGUAAGAGAAGACCAGCGGGCACACUUCUGCCCCGCGCACCUUCCUCUGUGGAGGGGAACAGACGGCAGGAGGAAACUGAGCUAACUUCCCCCACAAAGCCAGAAAGUAGGACAUCCAAGCUCUGGCUGUCCGGAAACUGGAACUCCCCUGAAUGACUCUACUUUUAAAGACAACAAAUGCAGUCCCAGGAAAUGGCUGAAAAGUGAAGGUGCUUGCUGCCAUGCUUGGUGCCCCAGCUCAGUCCCUGGAUCCGCAAGCCGCCUGGUCAAGAGCAGCAAAGAGCAAACCAAGAUCUUCUGCUGGAGAGGGAGGGAAUCUUGUGUUGUUUCUUGGCUCAGAGUCACCCUGUUGCCAUCCACUUCCGAAAUGACUUGGGAUAUGUGAGCAAGGCCAACACGUUUGGGAACUGGUGCCUCAGAGGGAUACAGCUUAAUGUUGAGAAGACCACGGACCGACCUACCUUCUGAAUUACCAAGAACCUGACAGAAGCCACCAAGUAGGGCUAACUGCCUCAGGUUGCCUAGUGCAGACCCCUGGUGUGAUCCUCAGCACAAAACCCUGCAGCAAAGACCUGGCAGCUAAGGAAGGAGAAGCACUAGGUGGCAAAUUUAUCUAACAUUUUGAGUCAAAUAAAUGGGUAAGUAUAGACGGUGAAGUCAACCCCACUCGAAGCCCCCGCCCCCCAGAUGGCUUCCCUAGAUGAACCCUGAAGUUUGUUCACCCCUCUAAACUGAUCUGGAAGACAGCAGAAAAUGUCACUGGAUAGACAGCCUAGCAGAUAGCACCCACCCCAGAGCUGGAGUCUGAGAACUGGGGAAAUCCACACGGGACCGUGGUCCCACUGCUUAGAGAAGCACAUCUGUGCAAUAGAGGCAGGUUUUGCUUCUUAACACCCUGGGCCUGCACUUGCCCCACAACAACCCACAAGCAGGAAGCUGCAAAGGGCUAAUAAAGCAGGGCUCACAGAACAGCAGAGGUUCCCCGAUGAAAGGAACUAGGAAGUCUCUUUUCUCUACACAAGGACCAAGUCCCUCCUAAAACAAUCCCAACAGGACGUCUAUCCAUUUUGUUGUUCCACGGUUUGAGAGAGUCUUCCUAUGCAGCCUCUGUUGGCCUUGAACUUGUAGUGAUUCUCAAGACUUCAGGCUCCCGAGGACUGGAAUCAUAGCCACAGACCUUUGUGCUCUGAGAUGAACUCCUGAUCUGCUCAGUCCAUAAUAUGACUGUCUUUCCUUUACUUACCGGCCACUGCUUUCUCCUACGUAAGCACUUAAAGGGCACUCAUCGUAAGUACCCAGACAGAAGGUGACUCAACCUGAGAGCCUUGGAAGAAACCUUACUACCUGAGCCCCACCAUUUAGGAACACCCCGGGAACUCAUUUCAGGUAACACACAGACUGAUACUGGCAGGCAAGACAUGUGUGGAUUUAACUGUGUCUAUUUAUCUUCCCCUUUCUUCAGGAAACUUAACUCUCCAUCUAUAGAUGAAUACAGGAAGCAGGUUAAGCUACUCACCUUCAGACAGUGGUUUGAGGACCGUCUGGCUUUUGACGUCCGACUCCACAAUUUCAAUAGCUCGCCUAUAAAAAAAUUUUUUUUUCUAAAAUUUAGUCUCAGCCAAACCAAAUACCACACCAAGAGACCAUGCCCCAAAGCAGGCACAUUAACUAAACACACGUUUUUAAAAAAUUAAGGUCCCUUCCAAGUUUGGUGCCCAGCACCUACCCAGGCAGCUCCCAACCCCCUGUAA